UGGCGGCGUGCUUAACACAUGCAAGUCGAGUGCGCGGUUGUAGCAAUACAACUGGCGCACGGCGCACGGGUGCGUAACACGUGGGCAAUCUGCCCUCCGAUGGGGAAUAACUCCGGGAAACCGAAGCUAAUUCCGCAUAACAUUCCCUGGACUCCGGUUCGGGGACUCAAAGCAGUGAUGCGUCGGAGGAGGAGCCCGCGCCCGAUUAGCUAGUUGGCAGGGUAACGGCCUACCAAGGCAAUGAUCGGUAGCUGGUCUGAGAGGAUGGCCAGCCACACUGGAACUGAGACACGGUCCAGACUCCUACGGGAGGCAGCAGUGGGGAAUCUUGCGCAAUGGGCGAAAGCCUGACGCAGCGACGCCGCGUGGGGGAUGAAGCUUCUCGGAGUGUAAACCCCUUUCGACUGGGACGAAUGCCCGCAAGGGAGUGACGGUACCAGUAGAAGAAGCCCCGGCUAACUACGUGCCAGCAGCCGCGGUAAGACGUAGGGGGCCAGCGUUGUUCGGAAUUACUGGGUGUAAAGGGUUCGUAGGCGGUGUGGCAAG
rnacentral:rRNA from 1 species